GAGUGAGUUAGAAGCCUGUGCUUUUGGCACUGUUUCUACCUGGCAACAAUAUCGCCACACACCAAAGCCACACGGCUCCGCACGACCGAGACCCGUAGAAAAGAUAUAAUAAUCAUGUCCAACCGAAACUCUUAUAGUUAUAUAUAUUAGUCUUACAUGUAACGACCUACAAUUCCUGCAGUGCACUCCCAGAACGGUUCGUCGGAAAUAUUUGGUGAGAAUGGAGUUUGCUUGACUCUGUAGAAAUAGUGUUCUGGAAGCCGGCCAUUUAGGAGUGAGAAUCUUCAUCAGUCUUUGCAAGUGCAACCACUGUCCAGUCAGAUACAGCCAGCGUGACAAGAUGGCCAUCGGUGGCUGCUCGCCAUUGCGUUUUCUCGCAAUCGCUUCAACAGUCAUGUGGUGGUCUCUGUGCUAGCAAGGAGUCUUGUCAGGCUCGCACGGAGAGUGACCUAGGAUCUUCCAAUAGCUGGGCUUCUGCUAUGAGUGGAUUUGGACUGGUGUCUAGUAACGCAAGCGAAAACAACGGGGUCUGCAUGUGGAACCAUGUCUAUUUAUCGUACUGCAGUGGAGACAUGCAUUAUGGCCAGCAAACGCAGCCAUAUUCCUCUGGCCACUUGACCGUCGUUGCCGUCCACGCACAGCUGCGGAAAGUCAACAACCUCAACGGGUGAGCAACUGGGAAGUAUUAAGUUCAUCCUUUCUUCGACGGUUUUUCCGCGGAGAACAAGCGAUAUGAUUGUAUGAAAUCAAAACUGUAAACUCAGCAUUUUUUCUCAAUGUGAAGGCAUACAUUCCAUGUUUAUUACAUUGACUUCGUGUUCAAAUUGCUUUCGAAAUAUUUGCACUCGUAGCAAUUAUACUACUGUCGUGGACAAGGAAAUCCGGUCGCACGUCUAGCGGACCCAGGGUGCUGGCCAUGCAGCCGUGGAUAAGCGCUACAUACAUGCAUUUAUCCGCUGCAGCGCGCUGGUCGCAUCGGAUUAACAUGACUCUGUGCACUGCACGCAGCGUUCUGUACGGGCUGAGGUCGCAAGCCCCGGUCAAUCGACUGGAUUUCCAUGUCCAAGACAGUAGUAGUGUACAUUACGUCAUCCACUAGCUGUUCACUACCAAUUGCGUUCGGCUGUUUCCCUUUCCGAAAACAAUCCUAGCCUGUCAGGCCCUUAGCGGUGACUCCUGGGUGGCUUGCAGGCCGAGCACAACACAUAGGUAUCAGGUUCGAAGGCAACAUUACCCAUCAAACAACCAUUGGUGUUGUCGAAUGGUACCAAACUAAACUCUGACUGUGUGGCAAAUAGAAAUUUGGGGGAACAGACUGAGGAGGGGAGAAUAGUUUCAUUACAGCAGGAAGAGUUGUAGCGCGUCUCUGAAUUCAGGUAUUUGCUAUAGGCGAAGCGGCUUGCAUGGUUGAUCGGUUACGUAUCCUCUUAGCAUAAAUGAGCGUGUAGUUGUUUACGCAACGAUCAGUUAGUUACGUUUUCAUUGUAACCAAUAAACGUAAGAGUAGUUAUAUUAUAAUUUAUAACACGUGCUGACACUGUGAGGUCUGCGUGUAAUGGAUGCACGACAAUGUUGUUCUCCGUGCCUGCGAGGACUGCGCAGGUUGCGCAUGCGUGCAUUUGUACGCAUUGUUGUUGUUCUGUGUUCGCCUUAUCGGUUCGCCUUGCGGGUGUUCGGUUUCCGUGUUUUGCUGGCUGGCCUUUCUGCGUCCCAGUAGGGUUCAGGACGGUUUUUUGUUUUUUGUGUUUUGUGAGCGGAUGUGCUUCCUGCGUGAUAUUCAGGUUCAAUCCCUGUGGGUUUGCAGGUUCAAUCCCUGUGGAUUUUUCAGGUUAGAGGCCUGUGGUUAUUCAGGGUAGCGCCCUGUGGUUUUUCUACGUUAUUUUUUGUUUGCGUAUUGAUGACCGAUUUGUUUGUGUGCUAUCUGGUGUCCUCAUUGAUAGACUGCCCCUGUUUCCGUAGGCGUGUUCAACGUUGCUGUUCUGCCAUUCCUUCUUGUGUUUUUGUCUGAUUUUUGGCUCCUGGUAUGGCUGAGAUGUUUGCGUCAGUCCGCGUUUCCUUCUGUGUGUGUCUCUGUGAGUUUUCGUAGCCCCAUCGGCUGCGUGAUGGUUUUCCGGACAACUCCUGUGCUGCCAGAUGACUGGUCACCCGGUUCAGCUGCCGCGGUCUUCGCAGUGCCGUCGGUUUGCCUUGGCUUCGCAUCAGGGCAAGGUGGUUGUUUCCCGGGGGCCCACGCCUGAAAGUAUGGCGGUUCCCUCUAUGGGUGGGCCCAGUCUGUUUUCUUUCCACCCCUUUGCUUUUGCUUUUCCCCGUUGUCCGGAGUUACUAUCGUAUACUACUAUUUUGGCCCUGCAUGUUUUGUUUAUACUCGCCUGUGUAUGUUGGUCACAUUUGAUUUCUUUUUCUCCUGUCUUUCUUCUCAUUUUUUUCUUCUCUCUCAUCCUCAGGAGAGAAUGCAUUUUUUGUGUGGUCGUAUGUUGUCGGUGCCUGCGCGGACUGCGCAUGAGUGCAUUUGUGCGCAUUCUUGUUGUUCUGUGUUGGCCUUCUUCUUGAGACUCUCUUUGCAGUGAA